CAAUUUUCUGCAUUUUAUGACACUUUGUGGCGCUUUGCGACACGUUGAGUCCUUUAUGGCAUAUCAGUACUGUUUCAAAACAGACCCACCUCACGUGAGGGCAUUGCGGGCACUUGAACAGUUGGUGGCGGCAAUGUACCAUAUUGGUUUGCAAACUGCUAAUAAAUUUGAACGAAGAAGACGAUAACAUGGCGCAUUCAAAGGAGAAGAGAUGUAAAUUGUACAUCUGAGAGUAAUAGUAAAGGUCAGGAGAAUGUCUGGCCCACUGGUCAUAGUAUUCUGACAAAUUUGGUCCCCAGAAAAAUAUAGUUGAAUAGCCCUGGUCUAGUGGUUUAACACUGGGCUUGAGACCAGAGGACCCUUGGUUCAAAUCCCAGUCUGAC